rnacentral:rRNA from 1 species
GAGUUUGAUCGUGGCUCAGAUUGAACGCUGGCGGCAUGCCUUACACAUGCAAGUCGAACGGCAGCAUGAUCUAGCUUGCUAGAUUGAUGGCGAGUGGCGAACGGGUGAGUAAUACAUCGGAACGUGCCCUGUAGUGGGGGAUAACUAGUCGAAAGAUUAGCUAAUACCGCAUACGACCUGAGGGUGAAAGUGGGGGACCGCAAGGCCUCAUGCUAUAGGAGCGGCCGAUGUCUGAUUAGCUAGUUGGUGGGGUAAAGGCCCACCAAGGCGACGAUCAGUAGCUGGUCUGAGAGGACGAUCAGCCACACUGGGACUGAGACACGGCCCAGACUCCUACGGGAGGCAGCAGUGGGAAUUUGGACAAUGGGCGAAAGCCUGAUCCAGCAAUGCCGCGUGUGUGAAGAAGGCC